AUCCCCUCGACUCCAGCUUCUCCGACGUCGGCAAAAUUCUGCACCAACAAUAUGAUCAAUAAAAGAAUAAUUUUUUUUUCAUUCAAAUGUGAUGUGUCCUUGAAUCGUCUAUGAAAUUAAUUUUGAUAUAUAUUCUUAAAGUGUAGAGAAUUAGACACAUGUAUUUAAUUCUUAAAUACUUUCGAUUAUAAGAUCAUCAUGAGGAUGGUGAU
rnacentral:lncRNA from 1 species